CAGUCGCCGCGGGAAUACAGAGGAUGCAAGCGUUAUCCGGAAUGAUUGGGCGCAAAGCGUCUGUAGGUGGCUUUUCAAGUCCGCCGUCAAAUCCCAGGGCUCAACCCUGGACAGGCGGUGGAAACCACCAAGCUGGAGUACGGUAGGGGCAGAGGGAAUUUCCGGUGGAGCGGUGAAAUGCGUUGAGAUGUGGAGGAACACCAGUGGCGAAGGCGACUCUCUGGUCUGUAACUGACGCUGAGGAGCAAAAGCGUGGGGAGCGAACAGGAUUAGAUACCCCAGUAGUCCCUGUCUCUUAUAC
rnacentral:rRNA from 1 species